AUCAUGCUCAGAGUGAUAUUUCAACCUUCAUUUUAUCAAAAGAUUUUAUUUAAGAUUUGGUGAUCUGCUAUCCCAAGACCUCCAAGCUUCUUAGAGCAACAUAUGCUUAACCAACUGGCUAGGUAUUUGACCCCACUUUAUAGUUCUUCAUUGUUUCAAAUGUCACCUUCUGUAAAGUCCCUGCAUGUCCUAUUGAUCUUUUAUAUUAUAGUGUUGUGAAUUUUUAGAACCAUCAUCCAACAAACUAGUAUAACCC
rnacentral:lncRNA from 1 species